AAUGAACGCUGGCGGCGCGCCUAAUACAUGCAAGUCGAGCGAGAAGACGUAGCAAUACGUUUGUAAAGCGGCGAACGGGUGAGGAAUACAUGGGUAACCUACCCUCGAGUGGGGAAUAACUAGCCGAAAGGUUAGCUAAUACCGCGUACGCUCCUUGGACUUCGGUUCAGGGAGGAAAGCGAUACCGUGGGUAUCGCGCUCUUGGUUGGGCUCAUGUCCUAUCAGCUUGUUGGGAGGUAACGGCUCACCAAGGCUUCGACGGGUAGCUGGUCUGAGAGGACGAUCAGCCACACUGGCACUGCGACACGGGCCAGACUCCUACGGGAGGCAGCAGUAAGGAAUAUUGCGCAAUGGGCGAAAGCCUGACGCAGCGACGCCGCGUGGGGGAUGAAGGUCUUCGGAUUGUAAACCCCUUUCGGGAGGGAAGAUGGAACGAGCAAUCGUUCGGACGGUACCUCCAGAAGCAGCCACGGCUAACUUCGUGCCAGCAGCCGCUGUAA
rnacentral:rRNA from 1 species